rnacentral:misc_RNA from 1 species
AACGCACAUUGCGCCUCCGGGUAUUCCUGGAGGCAUGCCUGUUCGAGCGUCGUUAAAGACCAUAAGGCUUUGCCUUGCGAUGAGCGUCCGAUCUAGUGUCUCUAGAUUGGUAGCUUCAAACUGAUUGGCAUCUGAAGUUUUAGCCCAAGCACAGCAAAAUGUGAUUGUAAGCUGACUAGACGAUUUGCCUGUUCGUGUACCGUAAAACAGUACACAUACCAAACGGUCGACCUCGGAUCAAGCAAGAUUACCCGCUGAACUUAA